rnacentral:rRNA from 1 species
GAUGAACGCUGGCGGCGUGCCAAAUACAUGCAAGUCGAGCGAACGGACGAGAAGCUUGCUUCUCUGAUGUUAACGGCGGACGGGUGAGUAACACGUGGAUAACCUACCUAUAAGACUGGGAUAACUUCGGGAAACCGGAGCUAAUACCGGAUAAUAUUUUGAACCGCAUGGUUCAAAAGUGAAAGACGGUCUUGCUGUCACUUAUAGAUGGAUCCGCGCUGCAUUAGCUAGUUGGUAAGGUAACGGCUUACCAAGGCAACGAUGCAUAGCCGACCUGAGAGGGUGAUCGGCCACACUGGAACUGAGACACGGUCCAGACUCCUACGGGAGGCAGCAGUAGGGAAUCUUCCGCAAUGGGAGAAAGCCUGACGGAGCAACGCCGCGUGAGUGAUGAAGGUCUUCGGAUCGUAAAACUCUGUUAUUAGGGAAGAACAUAUGUGUAAGUAACUGUGCACAUCUUGACGGUACCUAAUCAGAAAGCCACGGCUAACUACGUG